rnacentral:rRNA from 1 species
UACGUAGGGUGCAAGCGUUGUCCGGAAUUAUUGGGCGUAAAGAGCGCGUAGGCGGUCCGGUAAGUCGGUUGUGAAAACUGGGGGGCUCAACCCUCAGAGGCCGACCGAUACUGCCGGGCUAGAGUCCGGAAGAGGCGAGUGGAAUUCCUGGUGUAGCGGUGAAAUGCGCAGAUAUCAGGAGGAACACCAAUGGCGAAGGCAGCUCGCUGGGACGGUACUGACGCUGAGGCGCGAAAGCGUGGGGGAGCAAACAGG